rnacentral:rRNA from 1 species
GUAAGGAAUAUUGGUCAAUGGACGAAAGUCUGAACCAGCCAUGCCGCGUGGAGGAUGAAGGUCCUCUGGAUUGUAAACUUCUUUUAUAUGGGACGAAAAUGGGGCUUUCUAGCUCAACUGACGGUACCAUAUGAAUAAGCACCGGCUAACUCCGUGCCAGCAGCCGCGGUAAUACGGAGGGUGCAAGCGUUAUCCGGAUUCACUGGGUUUAAAGGGUGCGUAGUUGGAUUGGUAAGUCAGAGGUGAAAUCUCCGGGCUCAACUCGGAAACUGCCUUUGAUACUAUCAAUCUUGAAUAUUGUGGAGGUUAGCGGAAUAUGUCAUGUAGCGGUGAAAUGCUUAGAUAUGACAUAGAACACCAAUUGCGAAGGCAGCUGGCUACACAUAUAUUGACACUGAGGCACGAAAGCGUGGGAAUCAAACAGGAUUAGAUACCCCGGUAGUCC